rnacentral:lncRNA from 1 species
CCCUUAUUCCCUUUCAAUUUCAAUACAUCAACAGCAGAACAGACGUACAACAGUAUCAAACCGACCCCUGCGUCUUUUUCUUCCCAAACAACUAGCAAGCAACGUUCAAAUCCCAGCAAAUCCGGAAAGCAGCAGGUGUCUGCCACGCCCAUACUCAUCCCAGUCCCCUCAUCCCCUUUUCAAGGAUUUCUGAAUCUCUCCACUGUUGAUUGGAAAAGAGCAAUUCAAAAUUCAAAUUACAACCGUUUCCCCCAAAUUUCCAUCUAUAUAUUCAUCUCUUUGGGUCGCAACUAAGGGGGAGAGAAGGAAGCACAAUAAUUUCUUACUAAAUAUUCAAGAAUAGGUUUAUAUUUUCCCUCUCGUUUGCCCCCUAACUGGAAUUUUCCAAAACUCAUCGGAGAUUUAUUUGUGGUGGUGUAUAGCUUCACAGUCAAGCUCGUAGUCUCAGCGCGCUGCCCGGAAAAAGGUAAUACCCCUCCCUCUAUUUCCGUUUUAGAAGUCAUGUAGUUGGUUUGUUUCUCCUUGCUCAACUCCCUCUAUUUCCGUUUUAGAAGUCAUGUAGUUUGUUUGUUUCUCCUUGGUCGUUUCUCACUCAGUUUUGAGUUUUUACCUUUGUUGUAUGUUAAGCUUGUCUGCAAUCCUCGACUUUGAUAUAUAGUUUGUUGCUGAUCUUUUAUGAUAUUUAGCUAUUAACUUUAAGAAUGUGAAAUAUUCAUGUACUGACUCUUCUUGGUUCCUUCGAUAUUAAUCAAUAGGAAUUUAUAUAUCCAGUUGUUCUUUAGCUUUCAUUUUAAAAUAGUUUGAGAGCUGUCAUAUUGCUAAUAUAUCAAUCAUCUAUCCGAGAAGCAUUUUAGUUUGUUUUUGUUAGGAUUUGUUGCCGAGUUUUUUUUCAUGAUCUAAGUUCAUAUUUGUUCACCGAUUUGUUUCCUUGUUCAAGUUGGCUUAAAGUCUUGACCAUGUCUAACUUUGAUGAUUUUGCCUGCUCAUUGUCAAGAUUAUCAAUCUUCUUGUUUAUCAUCAGUUUAUUUGCGUAAGUGAAACUUUAUCGAUUUGAGCCGAUCUUCUAAUAUAGUUUCAUGUUUUAUUCUUUUCUAAAUUAACUCGGGUUGCUUUCAUGCUUAUGUGAUCAUUUACGCCAUUGUGGAUUUGUCCAGAAAGCUCUAAAAAUGUUUAUUGAUUUUCCUUAUUUUGGAAAUGUUUGGCAUAAUCAUUUUUCUUCAUCGUGAAUUUGUCUAUAUGAGCCGGCUAACUCUAAAUACGGAAUAUCUAUUCGACACUUCCUCCCCCCUGACAUCUUCUUUGGAGAAUAAUAUUAUCUUUUUUCAAGUCUUUAUUUGAUUAGCUAUAGAUUGACAGUGUUCCAAUAAUGUUAAUUGUCUGCCAUGUAUUUUGGAGGUUUAUCUACCUAAGUUUAAAAUUUUAUCUUUCUUAUUUUAUCCUAUUUGGUCUUAGUUUGGCAUUAAGAGAUCUAUUGAUUUUCAUAUUAAUGUUAUGGGUUUAUAUCCGGAUUUGAGAAAUCUAUUUGUGAUAUAUGGAAUGAGUGAUAACGACCAUGUAAUUGCUUUCAACUAAGUUGAUUUUAUGAGUUGCAACAACCUGCGUUUUUUCUCAUCUUUAGCCCGCAUUAUACAUAUGCUAAUCCUUAUUCUUUGUUUUCAUUGCAUGAAUUGUCAAUCCGAGUUCACUUUGGACUCAUCUCUUGCAUAUCCUUGAGUCGUUCCGAGUCAUUCUCAUAUUUGCGGUGAAAGAGAAGCUGAAACAGGCUGUAUACAUAUUGUAUACAGCAUUAUACACUCAUUAUACAACGAAUUACAGGUCAAAAACGUAGGAAUACAGGGCUGGAGCAAAAUACAUGUAUUCGGAAGCAAGAAAUACAUGAAAAGGGCUGAUAUACAUGCCGAUAUACACUGAUAUACAUCAGUGUAUACCAAAAACGGGAAUUGUGUUAAACUCCAAAAACAACAACGAAAUUGGCCCAAAAGGGGGCCCAAAUUCAAAAUUUCUCCCUUACUCGCUAAUUAUUUAAUUGUGAUUAUUUAUUGUUUGUUGUGUAACUCUAACUUUAUAAUCGUAAAUCAACUUAGUUGGAUCCCCCAAAAGACGAGCUAUUUCUCUGUGUUGUUUUGUUUCUAACAAAUCUCAUUUUAUCAAUUUUUGUAUUAUCAUUUAUAAUCUUUAAUCAAAACUUUCUUUUUUUUUUCUUUUUAGUUUAAAAUAGUUUUUUCAUAAACCAAAAACGACUCAAACAAAAACCAACUCAUUUAGUUUUCGUUAAAAUUCUAAGUACUUGUCUCUAAUUCAAUUGUUUCAAUCAAGGUCCCAUUUUCUUAAAAAAUAAAUUGCUAUUUGUUUAACUAUUUUCUCAAAACUAAUCUAACAAUGUUAAUUAUUAUUAUAAAAUACUUAUUUAGUCAUUUUCUCAAGAAGGUUAGCCAAAACUUUUAUUCUUCAAUUAAUUUAAAAUGAUUUUCAUGCUUUAAUGUAUUAAAUAGGUUUAAGUUAUUUUAAAAUGAAUUAUAUAAAUUUUAAUUAACCUAGUUUAAUUAAUAUUCUAACCAUUUAUCUUUCAAGUCAAAUAAUUCAUUUUGAAUCAUUUUCUCCAAAAAAUCAAAAUAAAAUGUGUCAUUUAAUUAUUUUUUCAAAGUUAAUCAAAAUAUUGUAAGUCAUUAUUUUAUGUUAAAUCAUUAUUUUCCCUAAAAUAGUCAAAUACAUUUUAGUCAAGUCGCAGGUCAACCGCAUGUUAGCGGACACUUAGAAUGCUUAAACCCUUCUCGAAGUGUAAAUUGAACCCCGAACCCUCUUUGGUAUUUUCAAAUGAUUUUUUCUGUUUAAAUCUUUGAAAAAUUAUAAGUUUUCUUGAUUUCUUUAAAAAAAUUAAGUGGCGACUCUUUCUAAGUAUUUCUUUUAGUGUUUUAUACUUAGAACAAAAAAAAAGUGAUUUUUCUAAAGGUUAGUUAAAUUACGACACAACAUUCAUUACCCACUUUUCUCUCUCUCAAUUUUUUACCCACAUUCUCUCCUUUCCCUCUUUCACGAUUUUUAUCCAUACUCCCUCACCUCAAUUAACUUUCCUUGUUAAUAUGAAAUUCCUCCAUUUUCCCAAGAAAUCUCAGUAAUUAUUCAAAAGAUUUUCAACUUUUGAUACAUGUAAAUACAUUGUCAUGACGUAUUGUUUUUUUUAUAUAUAUUCUAUUGUUCUAUGUUUUCAUCUAAAACUAUUUAGAUUAUUGUGUGUUUUUGUAUUUUUCAAUCUCCCCAUUUUCAGUUAGGAUAAUAGUUCUUAUUUUCUGUUGAAUAAUAGUUCUAGUAAGCCUUGAAUGAGCUCCUCAAAAGCUUGAUGCAAAUAAACAAAAUUUUGUUCUCUGUCUUCAAACUAUAUUUUGUAUCAUACUUGCUAGUGAAAGAUUAUCUAUUGUUGCAGGUUAAUUCGUUCUAAUAGUUUUGUCAGUUCAUAGAAAUUAAACUCGUAUGUAAAUUGUUCAUCUUUUCACCUUAACAUUGUAUUGAUUUGAUAAAGCCCAAGCAGAGACAAAUUAAAAUUUUGAGUUUAUGAGUUCUGAAUUCUCAAAAAAAUAACUUAUUGAUUUUUGUUAAAUUAUUUAUAUAUAUAUAUGAAGUACAUCUUUUAACACAAAUACCGAGUUUGUGCCAAAACGCCUAGAUUUUAGUGAAUCCAUAAGCAGAACUGUAGCUCCGCCCCUAAGCCAACCCUCCCUCUUUUUCCUCACAAAAUUUGAUCAGUUGAUAAGAAGCUAUAGAUGAACAUAUCUCUAAUUUCACCUUUAUUAAAACCAUACUUUCUUAAAAAUCCUUCUUUUUUGAAACCAACUUUUUCUAACACCUUUUGUGACCCUAUAUUUUGAGGUUCCACCAAUGCUUCUACCCUGACCAAAUUAGGAAAAUCAUUGAACACAAUUGGUAUAGCCAUUUUUAAUGCCUUAGUAACAAUUCCUUGUCCCCAAUAAUCAGAACCAAUUGCAUAUCCAAUGUGAGCUCUAUGAUUUUGAUCAUCACUCCCUGAUUCUGGCCUUACUGAUACGUAUCCGAUUGAACGAUCAUCCAAACAAAUGGAUCGACGCCAUGGAUGUGGAAUAACAACUUGUUGGAUGUAAUUUCUUGCUGCUUCAAUUGAUGUUAUUGUGUUCCAUCUUAGAUAAUAUGUAACGUUUUCGUCGUUAGCCCAUGUAAAGAGGUUGUUAGCAUCAGAAAUGUUGAAUGGCCUUAGAGAGAUUCUUGUGUUGUCCAUUUGAUUAAACUUGUUCUAGCUAUGAUGAUCUCUCCUGUGUUGUUUACUCUGUUUAUUUUGAAUUUGUACAAGUCUUAGUUGAGUGAGUUUUGGACCAUAAUAUAUAACUAUAUAAGGCAUGUGAUGAUGUCCAGUGGCAUACGCAUGGUGUCAGUAUUUAAAAAUAAAUAAUUAAUAUCACGACAUUAUAUUAAUAAAAACUAUUUAAAGCGUAUUGAGAAAGACUUAACAAGUAAACUACAACUACAACUUAUUAUUGUGUCCAAUUCUGUCUUAUACAAGUAAUUAAAUUUCUAUAAUAGGAUACAAAUUGUAUUUUAGUUCAUCUGGUUAUCCUAAUUUAACUAGGAAUUGGAGAUCCACCGAGUAAACCAACAAUCCAAGAAAACUCACUUGUUCAAGUUGUUUCAUUAAUGUUAUUUAUAUUAUACAUAAUACGUACUAAAAAAUCUUAAUGAUAGUGUCGGUCGAUAUCCUUGACAUAAGACGGGUCCGCCUUGAUGAUAUCAAUGUGAUUAUGUGGAAAAUAAGUAAAGUAUUUAUUUAUUUUUUGGUGUCAAGUAAGUAAGUAAAAAUAAUAAUAUUUUGAGUACAUUUAUAUGUAAGUAAAAUAUUAUGAAUUCUUAAACUGUUUAGUUUAAGGUGAAGAACGAAUAAACAGUUAGAUGCAUCAUGCAUUGAGUUCUCACUAUGUAUGAGGUUCUUACCUUGUAUUUUUAUAAAAAGUUAUUUUUAUGUUAAAUAUAUAAUCUCCUAAUUAUAUGACAAUAAUUUUGUCAAUUAAAUUUUCCAGCGUUGACCAGAAAAUAACAUCCUAAUUUUUAAGCACUUGUGAUGGAUUUUCGAAGAAAAAGUUGGAAAGUAGUCAAGUGAGGCGGCUAUGGAGAUUAUUGCUCUCUUUUAUUGGCUGCAAAUGGCUCGUGAUAGUUCCAUUCCUUGGUGACCAAGUCAUAAAAACAGCAAGUAUCUGGUUGACUUCAUUUUUAAAUUUAUAUGGUGUAGAAUUCAUUUAAGGCAUAAAAUAUAGAUACAUAUUUUAAUUUAUGAUAAAUAAAUACUUUAAUUUUAAGAAAAACACAUUUAUAUAGUAUAUUUUAAUUUGUUUUUGUUGCGCCUCAUUGAUACUCGAUUUCGACGUGAUAUAAAAAGUUAAAAAGUAUCCAGAUAUAAGUUAGAAUGUUUAACCGGACGGUACAUACAAGUUCAUCAGGGUUACAUCCUUAAUAGUGUGUAAUAAUCGGUUGAAGUCAAACUAAGAUGUCUAUUUAUAAAUUAUGUCUUCAUUAAAAAGAAAACUGCUCCUAUCAAGAAUUCGAGUUUGUUUCAUUGGCAUGGCUCGAACCCGAUCACAACCUCCGAAACCUCUGAUUAAGAGUGAAACAUAAACUUUUUGUUUUUGUGAUGCUUUACACGGUUUCUAGGCCAAAGAAAGUUCCAGAAGGUUUCUUAUCUGACUCCUCCAUUUUCAAUGGUCAAAUUAAUUCCAAGAUUAUUAAUAAUAUAAAAAGGCCACAUCUCCAUGAUCUAGAAACUAUGCAAUCUAGGAAAACCUCAAAAAAAAAAAAAAUUAAUUCUCUUUAGCUUCAAAUAUUUUCAUAUUUUUUUUUCUAUUUCGAGGCAAUGGAAUCUGAUUCAUCUUCUAAUCUUGAGAAUUUGAAAUUGAGUAACAAAUUAGAAGAUGACAUAAUAACUCUGAGGUUACUAGAGCUAACAGAUGUUGAUGAUUUUAUGGAAUGGCUCGGUGAUGACAACGUUAGUAAAUUCUGUUCAUGGGACACUUUCAAAUCCAAAGAAGAUGCAAUAUCAUACGUAGUUGAUGUUGCAAUUCCACAUCCAUGGUUCAAAGCAAUUUGCUUAAAUGGCAAACCAAUUGGUACAAUUUCAGUUUCACCUUUUUAUGGUACUAAUAAAUGUAGAGGUGAACUUGGUUAUGUGAUAGCAUCAAAGUAUUGGGGCAAAGGGAUUGCUACCAAAGCAGUGAAGAUGGCGGUGUCCGCCAUCUUCGUAGAGUGGCCUCACUUAGAGAGACUUGAAGCUGUGGUGGAUGUUGAUAAUCCAGGAUCACAAAGGGUGUUGGAAAAAGUUGGUUUUAAUAAAGAAGGUGUUUUGAGGAAGUAUUAUUUACUUAAAGGGAAAACAAAAGAUAUUGUUAUGUUUAGUAUUUUAUCUAGUGAUCAAUAAGUUACCAAAAGAAAAAAGAAGGAAAAUUCAUGGACCGGCCCUAUCAUUUGUACCCAUAGGAAUUACGAGAUCAACCUAAGGAUGUCUUUGGCAUGCAGUGGUUACGGACCGACCAUAGAAACCUAUUAGCUAUUUUAUGUAAGUAAGUUUGUAAAAUUUUAAUUAAUUAAUUAAUUUCUUAUCAAGCAUAAGAAUGUUUUGAGUGUGUUGAGAAAUUAAAUAUUUCUUGAAUGUUGAGGAGUCCAUUUUUAGUUUUUAGCUAUGAUUUCCUCUUAUUGACUCUGUUAUCAGAAAGCUAGUGAUUGAUUUGUGUAUUUUUAGGUUAGUUUUAAUAUUUAAAAUAAUUUAUAUAGCUAUGUUUUUUCUCUUUUUAUUACUUUCUCUGUCUCAAUUUAUGUGGCGUAAAACAAUAUAACCACUCUUCCUUCACCAUCUUCGAUUUCUAUUUCUCCUAUCAAUCCGGUCACCUUGAGAAAAUCUACCAAGACCCCUCCAUACUUAGAAGGUUACAUUCUAACUCUGAUUUCUGAUUUACAGAACCUUCCGAAAUUUUCAAACAUGAACUAUGUGAAGAACUUCUAUAGUACUCUUUAACAUCAUGAAAUUAUUGGAAUAUACUCCCUCCGUCCAACAAAAUUUGUUCACUAUUAACUUGACACACACCAUAAGAAACAAUAAAUAAUAAGGAUAUAAUAUUAUUAUAGUACCCUUUGAAUAUAUUAAAUUUAAUGUUUUGAAAAAUAUAUUAGAUAUUGAAUAGUAUUUAAUAGCAAGAACAAAAUAGACAUACGAGGGUAAAUUAUUUCUUGAUUUUUCAAACUGGACAACUAUUUUUAGUAUAAUGAACAAGUAAAGAUGGACGGAUAUAGUAGUAUUCCUACACCCCAAUGUAAGUGUCUUACUUUCUAUUUCCGAUUAUCCAAGAAAAAAAAUGUCUCUUUUUAUAUUUAGUAAAUUUUUCAAUUUAAAUAUUCUAUCCGACAGUAAGAUUCAAAUUUUUUCUAUAUUUCUUAAACUUUGUGUCUAGUCAAACUAAGACAUUUGAAUUGAAAGGUAAAAGAGUAAUAGAUAGAUAUUGAACUAAAAACAACAUCUUGAUUAAUUUAGUACUUUUGAUGGAUUCUCCAAGAAAAGCUGUACAGUCAGACAAUGCAAGUUUAUGUUUUUUUUUGGUUGUUGUUUGCAUAUGACCCAUUAUAAGAACAAUAAAGACCUAUCAAUUUCCUCGAAACAUUAUUUAUCCUUCAUGUUAUUAGGUUAAUAUAAUGUUUCAGCUUUGUCAUGUUUCACUUCCCUAAUCUUACUCGUCUUAACGAAGAGUUGCCAAUGAAAUUCGAUAGGAUAUUAUUAUUCUACACAAUCUAAGUGAUAGUUGAUUAUCUUAACUGGUCUCCUACGUGAAACAAGUUUUCUAACGUGUUUCAAUAAAACAGUAAUAAAAAUACACCGUUUUAAAGUUGUAAAAACAACUAUGGGUAAAAACACCUCUCAACAGGAAAGACUCCUCUUUUUAUCCGAACUGUUUCAAUAAUAAUUUAAAGUUGGAGUAGGAAAUCCUAAAUUGUUUAAGAUUUAUAUAAUUAAUACAUAAUUAAAAUUUAUUUGUCCUAGUUCACAUAAAAUAGAUUUUCUAGUCCUGGCUUUAAUUUAGUUCUUAUUAUCAUAAAUAGGAAUGCUAGUUAUUCUUCUAUAUACAGAAAUAUAUAGAGAACUUGAAGUAACAUUCAAGAACUUACGAGACGAACUCUGCUUAUACUUUGUGCUAUAACUAGCUGUUGCAUCUAAGCUUGAGCAAAAAAGAAGAUGAAGAAUGAAUCAGACAUAAUAAGUCUCCGGUUAUUGGAUCAAACAGAUGUUGUUGAUGAUUUUAUGGAAUGGUCUUUGGAUGAAAACGUUAGUAAUUUCUUUACUCGGGGAACUUUCUUAACCAAAAAAGACGCAAAGAGAUACAUUACUAAAUUUAUUGUAACACAUCCAUGGUUCAGAGCAAUUUGCUUAAAUGGCAAGCCAAUUGGUUAUAUUUGUGUAUCACCUGAUGUGGGAAGUGAUAGAUUCAAGGGUGAAAUUGGAUAUGUGUUAUCAUCAAAGUACUGGGGCAAAGGGAUCGCCACCAAGGCUGUGAAGAUGGUGGCGGCCACCAUCUUCGUAGAAUGGCCACACUUGGUCAGGCUUGAGGGUAUGGUGAAUAUUGAUAACAUAAGAUCACAAAGGGUGUUGGAGAAGGCUGGUUUUACAAGGGAAGGUGUUUUGAGGAAAUAUUAUAUUUUUAAAAGGAAACUAAGUGAUCUUGUUAUGUUUAGUCUUUUAUCUACUGAUCAACUUACUUGAGCCGAGGUCUAUUUACCUUCAUGUCUAAAUAGGAUUUAUAGUCAAAAUUUUAUAGGGUAUGAAUAGGUUUUCUAGUAUCUAACUAAAAUAAGUAUUGUAUUAUGGAAAAUUAUGAAUAAAUUAUCUUUUUUUCCAUUCACAAUUAAUUUUCAUGUAUCAGUAGAAAUUUCAUCUAUCAUAUUCUUCAAUGGAAUCUGAAGAAUUGCCAAUGAAGAUAUUUUAUAAAAUAUAACUUUCAGGGUUCUGACUUGUGUCUUUCGGCAACAACCUAGGUAGAGGUAAGGUUUGCAUACACUGUACCCUCCACAGAUUCCAUUGGACUUGACGUUGUUGUUAUUAUGGGAUGGAGACAUGGUAAAGAUUCCCUAAAUAAGAUCUCAAAGAAUGAAUGAUUUAAAGAAUUUCUACCAUAGUGUUGAAUUUUUUCAAACUUGAUGGCUUUAUUGUAAUGCAAUAGAUGUUGUUCUGAAAACAUCUUAGUUACAAUUUAGAACUUGAUAAAUUCUCAAAGAAAAGUUGGAUAGUAUUGGCUUAUUGCUUGAGGCAGCUAAUUAAGUACACUCUUUGGAAUCUCUUUGUUUGGUACGUUGAUUUUAAACUAACGAUAUGUAGAAUUUACCAAAGUGUCAUUUAUUUUUAUGAUCUUAAACAUGCCACUACUAAUAAAAGAGACAUUUAGGGUGUGUUUGGUAUGAAGGAAAAUGUUUUCCUAGAAAAUAAGUUGAUUUUUGACUUAUUUUCUCAUGUUUGGUUGGUGAGUAGAAAAUAUUUUCCAGAAAAGAUUUUUAGUGUUUGAUUUAUGAAUGAAAAAUAUUUUUGAGAAAUAUCUUUUAUUUUAACUAGAGUAGAAAAUAAUUUUUGAAAUUGAAAAUAUUUUUUAAAAACAAACUUAAAUUUUUUUUNNNNNNNNNNNNNNNNNNNNNNNNNNNNNNNNNNNNNNNNNNNNNNNNNNNNNNNNNNNNNNNNNNNNNNNNNNNNNNNNNNNNNNNNNNNNNNNNNNNNNNNNNNNNNNNNNNNNNNNNNNNNNNNNNNNNNNNNNNNNNNNNNNNNNNNNNNNNNNNNNNNNNNNNNNNNNNNNNNNNNNNNNNNNNNNNNNNNNNNNNNNNNNNNNNNNNNNNNNNNNNNNNNNNNNNNNNNNNNNNNNNNNNNNNNNNNNNNNNNNNNNNNNNNNNNNNNNNNNNNNNNNNNNNNNNNNNNNNNNNNNNNNNNNNNNNNNNNNNNNNNNNNNNNNNNNNNNNNNNNNNNNNNNNNNNNNNNNNNNNNNNNNNNNNNNNNNNNNNNNNNNNNNNNNNNNNNNNNNNNNNNNNNNNNNNNNNNNNNNNNNNNNNNNNNNNNNNNNNNNNNNNNNNNNNNNNNNNNNNNNNNNNNNNNNNNNNNNNNNNNNNNNNNNNNNNNNNNNNNNNNNNNNNNNNNNNNNNNNNNNNNNNNNNNNNNNNNNNNNNNNNNNNNNNNNNNNNNNNNNNNNNNNNNNNNNNNNNNNNNNNNNNNNNNNNNNNNNNNNNNNNNNNNNNNNNNNNNNNNNNNNNNNNNNNNNNNNNNNNNNNNNNNNNNNNNNNNNNNNNNNNNNNNNNNNNNNNNNNNNNNNNNNNNNNNNNNNNNNNNNNNNNNNNNNNNNNNNNNNNNNNNNNNNNNNNNNNNNNNNNNNNNNNNNNNNNNNNNNNNNNNNNNNNNNNNNNNNNNNNNNNNNNNNNNNNNNNNNNNNNNNNNNNNNNNNNNNNNNNNNNNNNNNNNNNNNNNNNNNNNNNNNNNNNNNNNNNNNNNNNNNNNNGGGGGGAUGGUUUGAGGGUAAGGACAAAAUAAAUUGAUUUUUUCAACAAAAAAAUAAUUGUAAUUUGAAGUUGGAAGAGAUGUUUGGAAAAUGUUUUCCUUAAGUUUAGAAGGGAAGUCAUUUUCCUUAAAUUUGAAAAAAAUGAGUUGAUUUGAAAAAUAUUUAAUCCAACCAAACAUGAGAAAAUUGAAAAACAUUUUCCGGAAAAUAUAUUCCUUCAUACCAAACACACCCUUAAUGGCAAUAUUCAUUACGCACAAUUGAGUUUAUUCUUUUUGAAACAGACUAAGAAGAAAAGUAAGACAAACAAAUUGAAACGAAGUGAGUAAUAGAUAUUUCAGUGAAAACAACAACAUCCUGAUUCUCCAAGAAAAGCUGUCAAGUGAGGUUGCUAAGAAAGUUCAUAUGCCUUUUUUUUCCAUUCCUUGGUGACUAAGUUAUAUAUGAAGAGUAAAGACCUAGCAAUUUCCUUGAAACAUUCUUUAUCCUUCAUGUUUAGUUUAUAUAAAGUUCCAGCUCUGUCAUGUUUCACUUCCCUAAAACUAUAAUCUCUAACAUAUAAUAAAACCAAGAAAAUUUCAGUGUUUUUUGGCUAUGGAAUCUGAUUCAUCCUCUAUUGAUCUUACUCGUCUUAACGAAGAGUUGCCAGUGAAAAUCGAGGAGAUGUUGAAAUUGAGUAACAAAGAAGAUGACAUAAUAAGUCUCAGGUUAUUAGACCUGACAGAUAUUGAUGAUUUUAUGGAAUGGUUUACGGAUGACAACGUUAAUAAGUUUUGUUCUCGUGACACUACUUUCAUAUCCAAAGAAGACGCGAUGCAAUACAUUGCUGAUGUUGUUAUACCACAUCCAUGGUACAGGGCAAUAUGCUUAAAUGACAAGCCAAUUGGUUCAAUUUCUGUAUCACCAUUUCAUGGAAGUGAUAUAUGCAGGGGAGAAAUUGGAUACGAGAUAUCAUCAAAGUAUUGGGGCAAAGGGAUUGCCACCAAGGCGGUGAAGAUGGUGGCGUCCACCAUCUUCGUAGACUGGCCCCACUUGGCCAGGCUAGAAGGUAUUGUGGCUGUUGAUAAUAUAGGAUCACAAAGGGUGUUGGAAAAGGCUGGUUUUAUUAAGGAAGGUGUUUUGAGGAAGUACUAUCUUGUUAAGGGGAUACCAAUAGAUAUUGUUAUGUUUAGUCUUUUAUUUAUUGAUCAACAACUUACCUACUUUACUUGAGCCGAGAAUUUAUUGGAAACAGUUUAUUUACCUUCACAAGGUAGGAAUCAAGCUGUGUAAUAUCAUCCUCUCCAGAAUCUCUAGUUGGCUAAAGUGGAGUACUCUAGUAUGUAUAACUAUUGUAUAAUUCUCUCUCUAUAUAUGAAUAACAUUGUAUAUCAUUAUAUUAUACAAAUUGUAAUAAGUAUACGCUGUUAUACCAUAAGAUGGACUGAACUCUCUGCUUUUUGAGACUAAAGCCAGAAGAAAGAAAAAAAAAAUGAAAGAAAAGGUGUGCAACACUUUUGGGCUAAAGAUUUAUGAUAUAAGUUUUGGGCUAUAAAUAUGCUUCAUAGCUACAGUUUGCUUAAUUAUGUUUCAUAACUAUAAUUUUGUUUGUUAUGAAUAUUUAUGUUUGUAUAUUUCGCUUCCAAUAUACAAACAAGGUAAGUAUAUAAUUAUUCUGUAUUUAUACAUUUAGUAUUUUUUAGAACUUCAUUUGUAUAUUUCGCUUGCCAUAGGAAUUUUUCAGAACUCCAUUUGUAUAUUCCGCUUGUCAAUAAACAAACAAGGUAAUUUAUAUUUUUCAUAACUUAUACAAAUCAAAUGUAUCAACAAAUUGUAUACAAAUAACUAAGGUAAGCAUAUACAAAAUCUGAAUUUAUAUAAUCAGGAACCAAGUUAUACAAGUUCUGGAUUUAUGUAAUUAGGAACCUAAUAGCAAAAUUUAAGAAACUUAAGCAGCAAAUCAUAAAUAUCCAAAAUGUAGUUAUGAAGCGUAAUACUCCCUCUGACCCUAUUUUCUAUUCCAUUUUUGACUUGACACACUUACAAGAAAAUAAUAAUUGACAUAAUGAGUUUACCUUUUUACCCCUAUGAAUUGAUAGAAUCCCAAAAUCAAUUUACUUAUUAAAGAGCUUCCACCUUUUCAAAAAAAAUUAACUCUUUAAAUAUAUUGAGGAUAUAAUAGAUAAAAUAUAUUGUUUUUUCUUGAUUUAUCAAAAAUGACUAGUAAAAAAUCAAAAUUGAACAAGUAAAGAGACAGAGGGAGUAUACUUUAACACUCUAUUUGGAUCAUUGUUACCCAUUGUUUUAUAAUGUAUUGUAUUGUACUCUAUUGUACUGUAUUGUAUGGUAGAUAUAGUGUUUGGCUAGACUGUAUUGUUUGUUGUUGUUUAAUAACAUUUUUAUUUUUGGUUUGACUGUAUCGUAUUGUAUUGUAAUUUAUAAAUUUACUAAAAUAUUCUUAAUUAUUCUAGGGUAGGAGGUUUGACUAGAAUUAAAUAAUAUAAGGUAAAUGGUAAAAUAGUAUUAUGAAAUAUUAUGUAAAGAUAUAAUUGGAAAAAUAAAUUAUGUAACAAUGGAAACACACCAAAUUGGUUGUUCCAUAAAAUGGGGGUUUUCAUUGUUACGUAACAACGAAAUUUAACAAUACAAUAUAAUAUAUUUGAGUAACAAUCAAAACAAACAUGAUAGGUAUAGUAACGAUACAAUACAAUACAAUCGGCAACAAUGAUCCAAACAGAAAAGCGCCAUCUUGUUGGAACACUAAUUCAAAAGCCAUAGGAAACCAAAAUUGUUUACGAUUUGAUAUUUGAUAGUUUUUUUAAUUCAUGUCUGAAUAGGAUUUAUAGUCUAAAUUAUAUAUUGACUAGGUUUUCUAGCUAAUAUAAGUUUUGCACAAAGGAGAAUUCUGAAUAAAUUAUUUUUCUUCACAAGUUUUUCGUGUUUCAGUAAAAAAGAAGAAGAAGAUGAUCAAUCAAUCAAUCAGACAUAAUAAGCCUCCGGUUAUUGGAGGUUAGUGAUGUUGAUGAUUUUAUGGAAUGGUCUUCGGAUGACAACGUUAGUAAGUUUUCUCAGGAACGUACUUUCAAAUCCAAAGAAGACGCAGCGAGUCACAUUGCUAAAUUUAUUGUACCACAACGAUGGUUCAGAGCAAUUUGCUUAAAUGGCAAGCCAAUUGGUUAUAUUUCUGUAUCACCUUUUGGUGGAAGUUAUAAAUCAAAGGGCGAAAUUAAAUACGUGUUAUCAUCAAAGUAUUGGGGCAGAGGAAUCGCUACCAAGGCUGUGAAGAUGAUGGCGGCCACCAUCUUCAUAGACUGGCCACAAUUGGCCAGUCUUGAGGGUAAGGUGGAUAUUGAAAAUACAGGAUCGCAAAGGGUGUUGGAGAAGGCUGGUUUUACAAAGGAAGUUGUUUUUAGGAAAUAUUAUUUUUUUAAGGGAAAACUAAGUGAUCUUGUUAUGUUAUCGUUAGUCUUUUACCUACCGAUCAACUUACUUGAGUCGAGGGUGUAUCAAGUUUAUUUAUCUUCAUGUCUAAAUAGUAUUUUAUAGUCAAAAUUUUAUAUAUGAAUAAGUUUUCUACUAUCUAGUUAAAAUAAGUAUUGUAUUAUGGAAAAUUUUGAAUAAAUUAUCAUUUUUUCCUUCACAGUUUUUCAUGUUUGGUCUUGAGGCAAUGGAAUUUGAAGAAUUGCUAAUGAAAUUCGAGGAGAUAAUGAAAUUUGGAUUAUAAAUUACUUUUUUUUAUAUGUUAAUAAAACUCUGUUAUUGGGACCAAGUAAUUGUCGCUUCAUAUUUUCAGGGGAAACAGAGUUUCUUUUCCCAAUGGGAAGAAGUUUUAAAACUUCAAAUUUCGUUCCUAAUUAGGCUUUUAAAGUUGUCUCCGUGAAACUUAUAAGUUACAGGUUACCAGUUCGAGUCGUGGAAGCAUCUUGUGCCUGGGGCUACCCUUAAUGGAUACACAAGAUGUUGGAUCCUCCGUAAAGAGACAACAUGAAGAAUGCUGGAAUUCCAUUCGAGUCCAUCAAUAUCCAUGAUACAACGGGUAAUGCUUGGUGGACUUUCAAAGUUAGUCAUGUCAAUAAUUGAUAUGCCUUUGCUGGAAUAUUUCCUCCUGUUAUGUACUCCACUCUGUCAUGCUAGAUCGCGCAGAUGUUUAUUGUAACUGAUGGUCAUGGCACAUUCUCCCCAAUUGUCACUCUCCGGGCUGAAGAUGUGUCAUAUCAGACGAGGUUAGAUGAUAUCACAGAUGGUGCCCCAUUCCGGGCAUUUGCUGCACUAUGUGGAGGUCCUAGUGAAGAAUGGAAUGAAUAUGCUUAUAUUGAUUAGCCUUGAAAUGUUAGGCUUUUGUUGUGCUGAUCGCUCGCUGCAUUGUUAUUGUCACUAUGACCCAGUUAAGACGAGUUUGAUGAUUCACAAAAGAUAGUUUUGUGAUGCUUAUUAACUUAUAAUAUGCAUUGUCCUCUUUUUGGGUUUAUGAGUUGUGUUUUUCGGAAGCAGCCCCUCUACCUCCACGAGGUAGUGGUAAUUGGUAAGGUCUGUGUACACUCUACCCCUUCACUAGUGGAAUUCCACUGGGCAUGUUGUUGUUAUUGUUACAGGAUGGAAACUCUGUAAAGAUUUUCCUAAAUAAGAUCUCAAGAAUUAAUGAUUUAAAGAACUUUUGAAUCUUGUCAAUCUUAAACUAAAAAUAGGUAGAAUGUAUGAAAAUGCCCUUCAAUCUUGUGGUCUUAAACAUGUCAUGUGGAAGUUGAAAAAAAAAAGACAUUCUUUUUUUGAAAUAGAUUAAAUAGGAAAGUAAGACAAACAAAUUGAAACGACGCGAGUAAAUAAGAUAUUGCAGUAAAAACAACAUCUUGAUUAAUUUAGUACUUGUGAUGGAUUCUCCAAGAAAAGGUGUCAAUUGCUAAGAAAGUGACCCAUGAUAGUUCCAUUCCUUAGUGACUAAGUUAUAUGAAGAGUAAAGACGUAGCAAUUUCCUUGAAACAUUCUUUAUCCUUCAUGUUUAGUUAAUAUAAAGUUCCAGCUUUGUCAUAUUUCAUUUCCCUAAAACUAUAAUCUCUAACAUAUAAUAAAACCAAGAGAAUUUCAGUAUUUUUUGGCUAUGGAAUCUGAUUCAUCCUGUAUUGAUAUUACUCGUCUUAACGAAGAGUUGCCAAUGAAAAUCUAGGAGAAGUUGAAAUCGAGUAACAACGAAGAUGAUCAAUCAAACAUAAUAAGUCUGCGUCUGUUGGAUCUAACCGAUGUUGAUGAUUUUAUGGAAUGGUUUACCGAUGACAACGUUAAUAAGUUCUGUUCUAGUGACGGUUUCUUAUCCAAAGAAGAUUCGAUGCGAUACAUUGCUGAUGUUGUUAUACCACAUCCAUGGUACAGGGCAAUAUGCUUAAAUGACAAGCCAAUUGGUUCAAUUUCUGUAUCACCAUUUCAUGGAAGUGAUAUAUGCAGGGGAGAAAUUGGAUACGAUAUAUCAUCAAAGUAUUGGGGCAAAGGGAUUGCCACCAAGGCGGUGAAGAUGGUGGCGUCCACCAUCUUCGUAGACUGGCCACACUUGGCCAGGCUUGAAGGUGUUGUGGCUGUUGAUAAUGUAGGAUCACAAAGGGUGUUGGAAAAGGCUGGUUUUGUUAAGGAAGGUGUUUUGAGGAAGUACUAUCUUGUUAAGGGGAAACCAAUAGAUAUUGUUAUGUUUAGUCUUUUAAUCUACUGAUCAACAAAUUACUCGAGCCGAGGGUUUAUUAGAAACCGUCAAUGUACCUUCAUAAAGGUAGGAAUCAAGCUGCGUACAUACCAUCCUCUCCAGUCAAGGUGGCCAUAGUGGAGUACUCUAGUAUGUAUAAUUAUAUAUAUUAUUGUAUAAUUCUAUAUAUUAUAUUAUAUAUACAACAUUAUAUAACAUUAUACAAUAUUAUACAAAUUGUAAUAAGUAUACACUGGUAUACCAUAAGUCCAUUAUAUAUUAAUAUCUACUAAAAAAAAAUUAGAUUCUCCGAUUCCUAUACCAAAAGUAAUUUCCUCGAAGAUUUUUUAUUAUUCCUUUUUUGAGUUAUUUGAAAGGCCAGCUUGUUGGGACACUAAUUCAAAAGCCAUAGAAAACCAAAAUUGUUUAGGAUUUGAUAUUUUUAUAGUUUUUCUAGUUCAUGUCUAAAUAGGAUUUUUAUAGUAAUUUUUUUUUAUAUAUUGAAUAGAUUUUCUAGUUCUCUAGCUAAUAUAAGUUUUGCACAACUUUUUCGUGUUUAAGUAAAAAAUUCAUCUUGAGGCAAUGGGAUCUAAAGAAUUGUCAAUGAAAUUCGAGGAAGUGUUGAAAUUGAGUAACAACGAAGAUGUUGUUAUUGCAGAUGAUUAUUCAGAUUCAGACACAAGUCUUCGUGUAUUGGACCUUACCGGUGUUGAUGGUUUUAUGGAAUUUUAUGCGUUUGACAAUGUUAGUAUGUCUUGUGACACUUUUGAAUCCAAAGAAGAUGUUGUUGCAGAUGAUUAUUCAGAUUCAGACAUAAUAAGUCUUCGUCUAUUGGACCUCACCGAUGUUGAUGAUUUUAUGGAAUGUUACACGGAUGACAACGUUAGUAUGUUCUAUUCAUGUGACCCUUUUGAAUCCAAAGAAAACGCGAUGCAAUACAUAGCGGAUUUUAUUAUAACACAUCCAUGGACUAGAGCAAUUUGUUUAAAUGGCAAGGUAAUUGGUUCUAUUUGUGUGACCCCUUUGGAUCAAGAAUGGUAUAUGUGCAGGGCCGAAAUUGGAUACGAGUUAACAUCAAAGUAUUGGGGCAAAGGGAUUGCCACCAAGGUUGUGAAGAUGGUGGCGUCCACCAUCUUCGUAGAAUGGCCACAUUUGGCCAGGCUUGAGGGUGUGGUGGAUGUUGAAAAUCUAGCAUCACAAAGGGUGUUGGAGAAGGCUGGAUUUACAAAAGAAGGUAUAAUGAGGAAAUAUUAUCUUUUUGAUGGGGAACCAAGAGAUAUGGUAAUGUUUAGUCUUUUAUCCACUGAUCCUUUAGACAAUUUGAGUCUAGAUAUCCCGAGGUGUGGAAAGAGCAGCUGUGAGGAGCGGAAAAACCAUUCAGGAAGAAUAAAUUUUCGCGAUACUAAAAGGAACUUUGAACGAAACUUUGGAUUAUUUGGAACAAGUCUUUGGAUUAUUUGGAACAAGUUGAUAAAUUAGAACAUGUAUCUUUAAUUUCUUGCAUUUUAAUACAAUUUUUGUUUGUUUGGAAAUUGUUUAUUGCUAACUCUUGUUAAUGCUUUAAGAUUAGGUAAUCUAUAUAUUAAUUAACCAAAUUGAAACAUUCAACUAAUACAUACCAAAUACAAUACAAAAGUUUAUUAUAUCAUGUGUGAACAUAAAAGAAUAAGAAAAUACAAUAAUGUCCAUCAAGAAAAUGACUGUAGAUCAUAUGAAAUAAAACAAAUAUAGCUGGUAAUCGAUACGUGAAUAUGAAUCUAUCAACAUAGCAAUUCCGUUAUUCAUGAAAGUCGUAGCUGAAAAUCUUAGGCCGCGGUAAAUGUUGAAGCAACAAAGAGAAGGAAGAAGAACAGAGGAGCUGCCAUUUUAGUUGAAGUUGCAUCAUUUGAACCAUCUCGUGGUGAUGGUAUUCCGUUAGUUCCACGUCCUGUUACACAUUCGUAUAGUGUUAAACACAAAGUUUAAGAAUAAAAAAAGUUAUAAUCUUUCGUAGUCUGAAAAAAACCAUAGACAUUAUGUAGUGAAAAUUCUAAACUAAAGAAAAGUACGACACAUAAAUUGAUAUAGAAAGAGUUGUAAUAUUUACCUGAACCAUCAGUUGGUGCUCCAGUAGGAGAGCCAUUUGGUGAAUCAGCUGUUUCAAAAUAACUAAUGUUAGUGAAGGAUCUAAAUUUUGUUGACAAAAUGAAUACAAAAUUCUAAAAUUGAGAUUGAGGUGUGAUUGAUCAAUUGAUAUAAGUCCAGGGCGGAUCUAGGGUAUCAGGUGCGAAUUUUCAUAAACCCUGUAUUUAUAUUGAAAAACAAUUAAAUAUAAAAAAAACUAUUCGUUGAAAACCUAAAACAAAGUAACCUCUUGGUCUAGAGAUAGAAAUGUAUCUUAUUUAAGCUUUUGUUGAUAUAGUAGUGAUCAAGCAAAUUAAAUAUCAUUAUGGCAAAAUUUUGGAAGUAACCCUAUUUGAAUACACUUUAUAAAACACAUUCAUGGAAUACGAUUUAUAAACGUAACUAAAAUCCUAAUCAUCAGGUCGCCAAGAGAGCAAAAAGUGUAUAUGUUUUAUCAAACUUGAUUUGAAUUCACUCACCCUAUAACCUAGAUUCACCUCUAAAGUGAUUUUAGGAUGAUGAGGGCAACAAAGUUUCAAACAAUAUCAACAACAACAUGAAAUAAAUCAUCGAUUAGGCAUCGAAGACAUGAUAUAUAAACACAUCAUCGAGACUACUAAUGACUUGAUACGUGAACACAUUAAGGCUAUUAACGAGAAGAUUGAUUUUCACUUCUUACCAUUGCAUUGGCUAAGAGGUGGAGUUUGAACAUUACAAGCAGUAGGAAGUGCCAAAGCCUGAGUUUGGUUAAUAUUUAGACCUAAAUUUGAGGCAUCACCAUUAAGGACUUGACACAAACAACUUGGAUUGUUGUUAACCACUGUGGCAAGUUGAGUGCAACAACCUGAAGUUGGAACAGAGGAGUUGCCAGUAAUAUAGUUCAAGCAAGGUGUCAAACUAAUCAACACGUUCGUGCAGUCGUUGCUAGAUUGAGCAACAACUCCAGAACAGAUCAUCGCGAAUACAAUCGCGAAAAAACUCAUCCUGAUUUGUUGAUUUGCCAUUUGAUAUGAUGAGAUAUUUUUUUUGAUUGAAGUAAGUUUGGUUACACAAAUGUUUGUUAGAAUAAGAAAUGUGGUGUUUGUUUAUAUAGGAAAAAGUUGAGUAGGGAGAGUCAAAAGAAGAUGUUUUUUAAAAUUGGUGACCAAUAAACAAAUAGUAACAAUUUGACAUUAUUUAGUAUUAUAUUAUUGUCAUACUAGUUUACAUAAGAAUUAGGUAGAUUUGGGAAAAAGUAGUUAGUUGUGUAGGUGACCAACUAAUGCUAACCAAUUGUGCCAUUAUAUGACUAGUCACACAAACAGAAAAAGCCUCAGGUCAAGCUGUUUUUUUCUUCUUUCAUUUUCCACGAUGUCCUGUAUUCAUAUUGGAGCUCAAUUAAAUUUGAACGUAUAUUGUUAGGCUUAUUUAUGGGGAUGACGCUCCAAACAAGAAUUUAUUUUUCAUUCUCAAGGUUUGAAUUUGAAACUUCUACUAAUUAAGAUUGAAGGGAUCCCAACCAUCUUACCGCAAUCCAUUGAUAAUUCUUAAGCUGUUCAAAAUUUGAAAACUUUCUAGAACUUACACAGAAGGUUCAUAUAUAUUAGAAUAAUAUAGUGUACGUAAAUAGUAGGCUUAAAUAGUACUACUAAUAUAUAUUGGUCAAACUUGUGGAAAAAUCAUGGAAUGAAACUUGCGCUGAAAAACUUCUAGAAUUCUACUCUUUCCAUUUCAAAGUUUUCUUUUAUGGAGAAAAUUGUUACUCAAAGAAAUUUUAGUAAUUUACGGGAAUGGCCUCCAUAGACCAAAAGGGUGAUUUUGAAUUUUCGGCCGCACUUAAUAAAAAUUCUUGAAAGGGAAAAUUAUGCAGAAUAGCAAGUAUCUAAACCAUAUUAAAUGCUAUAGCUACUAUUUAGGGGAAUUCUAAUUCACAGCUACAGUUUUACCCAAUUUUGCUAUUUGCUUGAUUUGUAUAAUUCGCCUGAUUUAUAUAAUUUGUUUGAUUUGUAUAAAUUCAGAAUUUUGUAUAUGUUUACCCUAGCUAUUUGAAUACGAUUUAUGAAAAAUUCAUAAUAAAUUACCAUGUUUGUAUAUUGGCAAGUGAAAUAUACAAACGGAGUUUUAAAAAAUUCCUAAUGUAUAAAUACGAAAUUUGUAUAUACUCACACUAUUUGUAUAUUCGCAAGCAAAAUAUACAAACGGACAAAAAUAUACAACUGCAGUCUCCAUAGCAAACGGAACUAUAGUUAUAGAGCACAAUAUAUUAUCGAAAUUAUAGAUAUAAAGCCUUAUUAUAUUUAUUCUAUUUGCUAUUUCUAAAAUUUUCUCUAAAAUUAGUUUUUCCAAUAUGGCAAAAGUUUGGGAUAUUUCAAUAUAAGUUUGAGCCUUUGAGGUAGUAAAUUUGCUCAAUUGAUCACAAAUUUUGCCUUAUCGGUAAAAGUUGCAUGUGUUCAAUUGUUAACAAAUUAUGACAUGAGUAAGAUUUGGUAAUGCUCAUUCUAGAUAUAAGUUGUUAUGUAUUGAAAAAAGUUACUUGUAUUAUUCAAUUGUUCACAUCUUGUUCCCUUUAAUUUAUAAAGAGUCAAUUCUUAUAAUCCACAAAAUAAUAUUCUAUACUUUUUAAUAGAAAAUGUGUAUUGCUUAAUUAACUCGGUCAAUAUAAUUGAAAAGUCAUAGUCAUAACCAAUAAACAAGAAAUUACACUAUUUUAUAUCUAUGUGACUUAUUAAAAUGAUCGGAACUCCUACUUUCGAAAUUUUUAUUAUUUAUUAAAGGGUGUCGAAAUAUAAAGUAAAAAAAAUAAAUGUUGCUAUAAAGAAUAGAACACACAAACUCAAACAAGUUUCGCAACCCCUUAAUCACUACACUAAAUCUUCAACUUAUACCAAGAUGUGUCUACACUAGUAUAUAUUUAUUCAUUAAAUCAAAUUUUGACCUAUUUAUACAAUGUAAUUUUUCGACGAAGGAAUAUCGCUAACACCCCUACCCUAGGAUAGUUCCCCCCUGCCUCGUAGGCAGAACUAACUGAUGAGCACAUUACAACUAAAACUAAUGUCUAAUGAACAAAAAGGGUUCUGUUCAACGAUUUUAUUCAUGUUACGAUUAUUUUUUGGGAAAAUUUUCAAAACAGCAAUAUUUUAGCUUUUAAUGGGACUCCUUAGCAAUAGUUUCACUAUUUAUUUAAAAUGUCAAUAUUUUAGUUUGUUAAGGGUUGAGUUAUGUAUUUAUUUUAUUUUGAUUAAUUUGAAAGAAUACAAAUAAUUAAUAACAGAAUAGAGAAAAUCAUGGAACAAAAAAUUUCAAAAAAGAUAAAAAAAAAUAAUAAUUUAACAUCAGUUACGUUUUUGAAAGAGCAUAUGUUGUCAUUUUUCUUUCUAGAGUUUUUUUUCCUUUGUUCUUAAGAAAUUCAAUUUAUUUUUUUUGAAAACAGUAGUUUGUAUUUUAUAUCUUAUAUGAGUGGAAGUGUUGGAAAAUUUCUAAUGCCCUCUGUUUUGGAUAUUUAAAUGUUUGAACUUCUUUGAAUAUGUGUUCAUCCGAAAAUGUAUUCAAAUACCUAAUGAUAUGUAUAACUAAUAACUAAUUAAAAAUACAAAAAUUGUUGGUAUUGAUUUAUGAUGAAUACAACUCUUUGGCAUUCUAGUUCUAGUACAAAAUAAAGGCAGUUGUGAAGUAUAUACCAAAA